AACGAACGCUGGCGGCAGGCUUAACACAUGCAAGUCGAACGCCCCGCAAGGGGAGUGGCAGACGGGUGAGUAACGCGUGGGAAUCUACCUAGUUCUACGGAACAACUGAGGGAAACUUCAGCUAAUACCGUAUACGCCCUAAGGGGGAAAGAUUUAUCGGAAUUAGAUGAGCCCGCGUUGGAUUAGCUAGUUGGUGGGGUAAUGGCCUACCAAGGCGACGAUCUAUAGCUGGUCUGAGAGGAUGAUCAGCCACACUGGGACUGAGACACGGCCCAGACUCCUACGGGAGGCAGCAGUGGGGAAUAUUGGACAAUGGGCGCGAGCCUGAUCCAGCCAUGCCGCGUGAGUGAUGAAGGCCUUAGGGUUGUAAAGCUCUUUCAGUGGGGACGAUAAUGACGGUACCCACAGAAGAAGCCCCGGCUAACUUCGUGCCAGCCGCCGCCGUAAAAC
rnacentral:rRNA from 1 species